rnacentral:rRNA from 1 species
GAUGAACGCUGGCGGCGUGCUUAACACAUGCAAGUCGAACGGUGAAGCAGGAGCUUGCUCUUGUGGAUCAGUGGCGAACGGGUGAGUAACACGUGAGCAACCUGCCCCUGACUCUGGGAUAAGCGCUGGAAACGGCGUCUAAUACUGGAUAUGUGAUGUGACCGCAUGGUCUGCAUCUGGAAAGAAUUUCGGUUGGGGAUGGGCUCGCGGCCUAUCAGCUUGUUGGUGAGGUAAUGGCUCACCAAGGCGUCGACGGGUAGCCGGCCUGAGAGGGUGACCGGCCACACUGGGACUGAGACACGGCCCAGACUCCUACGGGAGGCAGCAGUGGGGAAUAUUGCACAAUGGGCGGAAGCUUGAUGCAGCAACACCGCGUGAGGGAUGACGGCCUUCGGGUUGUAAACCUCCUUUAGCAGGGAAGAAGCGAAAGUGACGGUACCUGCAGAAAAAGCACCGGCUAACUACGUGCCAGCAGCCGCCGUAA